UCGGCCGCCGAACAUUGCAUGGUUGCGGCUUCACGUUCGGCUGCCGAAGGUGGUCUGGCCAGCCACCUAUAAAAGGGCCAAGGGUCGGUGGAAGGAGGUUAUUUCUCCUCCACUUGCAGCCAGAGGUGAGUUCCAGCCUCUCCUACGUUGACUUUCCUGUUUUCCAUGAUUUUCCCCUAACUUCAGUUGUGCAGGUUCAGAGAUCAGAGAGAACUCAGCAGGGUACAGGAAGAGUACAGAGUUUUGUAAUAGCUAGUGUGGACAUGUAUUUGGACAGAGAUAAUGUAUAUGUACAGUGUAUAGAAUGGUGCUUGAUUUAUAAGACUUGUAAUCCCUUGGAGUCACAUGAUCAGUUUAUGUAUGUUUCUUUAUUGUUGUAUGUUUAUGAGUAAAACCAGGCUUAACAUUAUGAGCUUGAUCCGCCUAGAGCCAUGAGGAGCUCUAGUAGGGAUUAGUAGAGCACAGAGAGAGUGCAUGCACAGGUUAAGCCUUGGACUAAAGAAAAGUUUUAUGGUUUUACAGAAAAUGUAUGAUCAUGUAUGGGAGUUCACAGGUCUACAGACAGGAUAGCAGGCUUACUACGGGUCCCGGCGACCUUAAGUCGAUCUGGAUCCUAGUGCCGGUGGCAGUUCGGUUUCCGGGCUGUUACAC
rnacentral:lncRNA from 1 species